AUUCAGUGUAUGUGAUUUUAUGAUAAAAUUGGAAUGAUACAGAGAAGAUUAGCAUGGCCCCUGAACAAGGGGUUCUUUAGAAAUGAGGAAAGUGCAU
ensembl:snRNA Gm24817 predicted gene, 24817